AACCAGCACCUCAAGUGGUCAGGAUGAUUAUUGGGCCUAAAGCAUCCGUAGCCGGCUCUGUAAGUUUUCGGUUAAAUCUGUACGCUCAACGUACAGGCUGCCGGGAAUACUGCAGAGCUAGGGAGUGGGAGAGGUAGACGGUACUCGGUAGGAAGGGGUAAAAUCCUUUGAUCUAUUGAUGACCACCUGUGGCGAAGGCGGUCUACCAGAACACGUCCGACGGUGAGGGAUGAAAGCUGGGGGAGCAAACGGG
rnacentral:rRNA from 1 species